UCUUUCACUGACUUUGCCCUCAGUCCUUUUCAGAAGAUCAUCCAACAUGUUUCUCUUCAGUUGGACAUUUUCAUUAUUCGUCGGCAUUUCUUUUGCAAACACAAUACAACCAUUAUCUUCUGAAAAGCAUGUUUUCAGAGGUGAAAAAGUGACUCUUACUUGUGACUACAGUGGCAAUGUAGAUAAUCUGCAGUGGUAUCGUCAAUAUCCUGGAUCUCGACCCGAGCACCUUAUUCUCGUCACAGAAUAUUCAGAACCUGAUCUUUCACUUCGUCUGUCAGCAAAAGCUUCCAAAGAUCUAAAACAAGUGAAUCUGACAAUCUCCUCUGCUGAAGAAACAGAUUCUGCUCUGUAUUACUGCGCUCUGAGGCCCACAGUGACAGGAAACACAUGAACACUGUACA